rnacentral:misc_RNA from 1 species
GGGAAUUUUUGGACCAAGAUGGAGUUUGGCUUUACCCUUUAUUUUUAUAUUGUUCCUGAUACCAUAUAUAGCUAGCUUCCCAUUCCCAUGGUGGUUGAGCUAUCCAACUUUUCUUCGAACUACUCACCAUAAAUUCAAGAAUAGGAUUUCAGCUUUCUUGCAGUUAAUAUAUGACCUUUUCUACUGGUACAGCUUCCCCACUCUUGAGGUCUGAAUCCAUCUCUCUCUUCGUGUCUAUCUUACCAACCAACUGUGAACUGUUUUUAUGCGUGUAGGCCAUGUUUUGCUUUUAAUUUAGCAUUUCUUUUCUUUUGGAUGGGAUGUAGUUCAGCGUCUUGUUUAUAAAUUAGCGAUACCCGUUUUAUUUUUUCUCACAAGCAACCGAAACAAAGCACUCACAGAGGAGCUCUACACAAAUGGAUAAUAUAGACAUGGAUAAUGAGAGAUUGACGGCGGAGAUGGCUUUUAAAGACUCUUCCUCUGCUGUCAUAAGAAUCCGUCAACGCUUGCCUGACUUCUUACAGUCCGUCAAGCUCAAAUACGUUAAGUUAGGUUAUGGCUACUCAUGUAACCCUGCUACUAUACUCAUGUGUCUCGUAAUUUUCCCUUUGUCCAUAGCCACGCUCGUUCAAAUCACUGGUCUUCAACUAGACCUGGUUUACGAGUUAUGGACGACUCGGUCCCUUCAACUCCAUGAAAUCGACGCCGCCACCAGUCUAGCUGGUUCUGCUCUAUUAAUCGUCCUUCUUGCAGUCUACUGGUCUAAGCGGUCCAGACCUAUCUAUCUGGUGGAUUUUGCGUGUUACAAACCGGAAGACGGACGGAAGAUGUCGGUGGAGUCUUUCAUGAAAAUGACGGAAGAUAGCGGCUUGUUUGACGAAGAAACUGUUCAAUUCCAGAGACGGAUAUCGAUGCGGUCGGGUCUAGGUGACGAAACUUAUAUACCAAGAGGAAUAACUUCUAGACCACCUAAUUUGUGUAUGGAGGAAGCCCGGAUGGAGACGGAGUCGGUCAUGUUCGGAGCAAUGGACUCGCUUUUCAGCAAAACUGGAGUUAAAGCAGAAGAAAUUGGCAUCCUCAUUGUGAACUGCAGCUUGUUUAACCCAACUCCAUCUCUUUCCUCAAUGAUAGUGAAUCACUACAGGCUUAGAACAGAUAUCAAGAGUUAUAAUCUUGGUGGAAUGGGUUGCAGCGCAGGGCUUAUCUCUAUAGACCUCGCUAACGACCUCCUGAAAGCAAAUCCCAACACUUAUGCAGUUGUGGUGAGUACAGAAAACAUAACUCUGAAUUGGUAUUUUGGCAAGGACAGGUCAAUGCUGCUUCCCAACUGCAUAUUUCGCAUGGGUGGAGCUGCUGUUCUUCUCUCGAACAAGGGCCGAGACAGGGGCCGGUCCAAGUACCAGCUGGUCCACACCGUUCGAACCCACAAAGGCGCUGAUGACCAAAACUACCAAUGCGUUUACCAGAGAGAAGAUGACAAAGGAACUGUUGGGGUCUCAUUAGCCCGUGAAUUAAUGGCUGUAGCUGGAGACGCAUUGAAAACAAACAUUACUACAUUGGGUCCUCUGGUACUGCCUUUAAGCGAGCAAUUUAUGUUUUUCGUAACCCUUGUUAGAAGAAAGCUCUUGAAAGCGAAUGUGAAGCCUUAUAUACCGGAUUUCAAACUUGCUUUCGAACAUUUCUGUAUACAUGCUGGUGGGAGAGCAGUUCUGGACGAGUUGCAGAAGAAUUUGCAUCUCAGUGAUUGGCACAUGGAACCAUCAAGAAUGACUCUGCAUAGAUUCGGUAACACUUCCAGUAGCUCAUUGUGGUAUGAACUGGCAUAUACAGAAGCCAAAGGUCGGGUCUCGGGUGGGGACAGAGUGUGGCAGAUUGCUUUCGGGUCAGGUUUCAAGUGCAAUAGUGCGGUGUGGAAAGCGCUCAGGGCCAUUUCCCUGGGCGAAUCAAGGGGUAACCCAUGGAUUGAUUCCAUUCACAAGUAUCCUGUUAAGGUUCCAGUGGCUUAACUUUCUUCAGUUCAAUUAGAUGGCAAUAUAUGUGGGUCUUAAUUUGGUCUUAUUUUUUUCGGGAUCAUCCAGCCUUUGUAUUAAUACGCACUCCCCCCAAGUCGUCACAUGAUAAAAAAUAUGAUUAUGGCGAAGAUCAUGCUUAUGGUAUUUGUAAAUAUGAAGAACACAUUAAUGAGUAGUUAUUAUUACCUCAUUCUCCUCCUCCUCAUCAUCAUAUCAUCAUAAUAAGGUGAUAUCACAAAUCAAUUUUUAU